rnacentral:rRNA from 1 species
AAGAAUGUGAAUUGAUCUACAUUUGUAAUGAACUGAAAAUUGGUUACCCUAGUAGUUGUUUGGACAGAGUCGGAUAUAGUUGGCUUGCCAUUUGUUCAAAAUUGUAACGACCCGAAAGUCAGUUGUGUCAGAAGUGAAGGUUUUGGAACCCCAUUUUUUAUGUUUAAGCUCAUAAAUAUUAGCGAGGAAAUGCAUAGAGAUCAGAAAGAACACCAACGGCAAAAGCACUUUACUGGGCCGGCACUAACACUGAAAGACGAAAGCUAUGGGAGCGAAUGGGAUUAGAUACCCAGUAAUUCUAGCCAGAAAUAAUGAAUACUAGGUGUUGUGUGUAUCGACCUGUGCACUACUAUAGUUAGCGCAUUAAGCAUCUAGCCUGGGGUGUACGUUCACAAGAAUAAAACUCAAAAGAAUUGACGGUGGCCAACACAAGCGGUGGAGCAUGUGGUUUAAUUUGAUGCAAAGUGAAGAACCUUACUAGGGCUUAACAUGCCGUGAAUCCUUUUGAAAGGGAGGGGUGCCUUAGCAAAGCGGACACAUGUGGUGCAUGGCUGUUGUUAGCUUGUGUCGUAAGUUGUUGGAUUAAGUCCCGCAAUGAGCGCAUCCCUCAUGUUUAGUUGCCACUGUUGAGUAUGGAACCCUUAACAGACUAGCGGUGAUAAGCCGGAGGAAGGUGAGGAUGACAUUAAGUCAUCAUGCCCCUUACGCCCUGGAGGACACAUGUGUUACAAUGGAUGGGAUAAAGGGUCACGAUCCCACGAGGGUGAGCUAACUCCAAAAACCCAUUCUCAGUUUAGAUUGCAGGCUGUAACUUGCCCGCAUGAAGCCAGAAUCGUUAGUAAUCGCCUGCCAGCCAUACAAUGGUGAAUUCAUUCUCAGGCCUGAUACACACCGCCUGUCACACUAUGGAAACUAGCCAUGCCAGAAGUCGUUACUUUAACCACAGAAAAGGGAUACCGAAGACAGGGCUAAUGACUGGAGUGAAGUCGUAACAAGGUAGUCGUACUGGAAAGUGCGGCAGGAUCACCUUCUUU